rnacentral:lncRNA from 1 species
AUCAUCAAGGUCAAUGGUACUACCCCUAAAUCAGAUGUGGAAUAUGUCAUCUCAUGUGCUAAACUCUUCAUUAUUGAGAGGGCUAAGUUAACGGGAGAUGGACUUUGUAUAUGACCUGGAAUGGAGCAACGACAUGCCAAUAUCCAUGUUCAGAACGGGCAGAAUAUGGAUUCAUCUACAUAGUGAAAACCUAGCAACACAAGUGUUAAAAGUGGAAUCGUCAGUCGAGAAAUUCAAAAUCUAUCUAAACUCUCAUGUUUCAGGGGAGGG